CUAAACUGAACUGCUCAAACACCUACAGGCACAGGGCGAGGGGUAGAACCACAUCGCUUGACUCUUAAGUGUGUUUCCAACUGCUCCCACUUCCCGUUUUCUUUAGAGAAACCCAGACCAAACAAGGAAAGGGAAAUAGGCCACGGUAGGGUCAUUACUAUUGCUCCUUAAGCUUCCUCGCCGGUCCACCUACCCAGACAAGGCAAACGGAAAUCUGCAGCAGGACUCAGCUUGGUGCACACAACUCCGCCCUCGCCACACCCACUCUGCAGCGUCUGGCCCGGCAAUACCCAUCUGGGCGCCCCUCCUGCUUCCUCUAGGCUCGCCUGCGCGCUGUCACGUUACGGCGGAACUAAU
rnacentral:lncRNA from 1 species